CUCCACCCUCUCUACUAUUCUUGCUAAAUAGAUGAAUCCCAAACUCCUCACCAUCUCACUGGCCGCCCCGUCGCCGGCACUGAGUAUAGCUGGUGCAGCGUUGUUCCUGGCAGCACUGGCAUUCACCAUCCUCCUCCUCCGUCUCUCCCGCCCAAUCCCCUGUUUCCUCCUUGCCACCGCCAUUAUUGCUCUCCUCAAUUCCCACCCCUUCCUCCACACUCGGCUCACUCGACCCAACCCAAGCGAACCCUUCUUCUUUCCAUCCCUCCCCUUUGCGACCCCAUUAUUGAAACCAUAUCCCUAUCCCCAGUCCUCCCCUUCCUCUCCGCCCUCGAUCUUGAACUGGGAUGAAACCCUUGGACCGAUACUCCCGAACUGAACCAAAUCCCGGUUUUCUUUGCAACGAUCUAUGAGAACCAGCCUGAUCCCUGUCCAUCCCUUAUCAUUUUACAAUUCCACACCUCUGUCUGUAAUUGCACAGCGGCGGUGACAAUCCUAAGGGAGUUGAUGGCACUACUAGGCGGCAGAGGAGGGGGAGGGGGAGAGGGGCAAUCAAGGAAUGGGGAUAACGAAGUCAAUUUGGGAAUUGAAGAUUUGAUUCCCAAAAAGGACUCGUGGAAGCCAUUUUGGGCUUGAGGGAAAGAUCUGAUUGGAUAUUCGCUAAAUGGGUUGAGAACUUAUUGCUUGGGAUUUCAGGAUAUGGGCUCGACCCGGUCUUCGGAGGUUGUGCACUUGGUCGUUGACCAGGAUGAGACCAAUAGGAUGCUCUCUCUGCAGGACUGAUUGCAACUGUUUCAUCCAAACAUCUUGAUAAAAAUCAAGCAGACACUUACUCAGUUGUCACUCUUGUUGAUUGCCGAAAAUAUUUAGAGCCUCCUCUACAUGAACACAAUGUUGGGUUCUACCAUUCGACCAUAAUGAACACACACACCAUGCACGAAGGAGAAGACUGCUGGGAAGUGGCCAAGAGAUGUCACAAUGCCUUCACCACUGCAACGAACAACAAGAAACACCUCACUUAUAUUGGUGAGUUGAAUUUUCUGACGUGCAAGGCUAGUGAGAAUCCUCAGCUCACUCAAGCAUUGUCACUGCACACCACACUAAUCUCCAUCUAGGAAGAUUCAGUGAUUUAUGAGUCCUCUCCUGCUUAAGAACAGCUUGGUGUGGAGGACUACAUUGGAUGUGCAUCGGUUCAUGGUGUCAGGCAAUCGAUUGCAGUUUUUGAUAUAAUCUGAGAUGGGCAACUUGAAGGUGUAUUUGUGUACCCUUCCCCUUUACAUUCAAGAAGACAAAUGCAGGAUCUUGUUUAGCAUAUGAAGAAACUUCUUGUGCAUGAAAGUCUGGUAGAAACUGAAGAACCUGAUGCUUGAGUUGGAAUUGGAACCUCUUCAUACAUUGAAAUCAAAAUGCAUGUCACUUUAAGGCAUCCUUUCAUAAUUGUGUGACUAUAAUGAUACUAUUCAUUUAAAAUUGAUUCAAGGGAAAUGUCAGCUAUUCUAAUUGAGAGCAAAGAGAACUAAUUAGCUUGAUCAA